rnacentral:lncRNA from 1 species
ACCUCAGGCCUCUAGUACUGGCUUUUCUAGGAGAUGACAGAAGAUAUGUGAAGAAGAACGGGAAUCAGAGGAGGGCACAGGCAGAGGAUGCUGACUACAUCAGUCAGGAAGAGGGCGAGGCUAACUUUACUUCUUUUUACUGCAGAGUGAAGCUUUCUGGCAUUGGUGCAGACUCUGAUCACAACAAGGUCCCUUGAAGCAGAGGAAUCUUGUCCUGGAUGAAUAUCAGAUAACAAAAUCUUACAGAAGAAUGUAGAGUUAAAAAUACAAUGACCAAGAGUGACAUGAAUGUGAAAUGACAAUUUCUACAUCCAAUCUAUUUACCUUCUCAUAUGGUCUUCAGGAUGUCCCCAAGUACACAACUUCUAGUACAAAUAGCACCAAGACUCAAUUUUCCUUCCUCUUCAAGUUUUGGAAGAUGCUAGGUUUGAGUGCUUCCUGGGGAGAAGAAGAAGAGGAGGAGGAGGAGGAGGAGGAGGAGGAGGAGGAGGAGGAGGAGGAGGAAGAGGAAGAAGGAAGAAAGAAGAGCGAGAGGGAGAGGGAGAAAGAGAAGAGAAGGAGAAGGAGAAGGAGAAGGAGAUGAUGACGACUUUGAUUUUCCCUGUAACUCAUGCUCUCCCCCAGUAUUAGAAUAGCACAGCAGCUGCUCUCUUGAAUUUGGCAAAUCCCAGGAGGGGUGGCUGUACUUGGUGAUUGUAGUUAGCUCAGCUGCUCUGGGGUUAGAGUUGCUUCCUGCUGUUUCUGUGUCCACAAAUAUUUGUUAAAUAAUAUGCUGAGGGAAGACAUAGAAAGGAUGUACAGCUGUGCUGGUAACCUCAUCCCACUAUGAUCGACCAUAUACCCCCAGAGUGCCUAAGAUCUUUCCUAUUAGCAGACCACUGCUUCUGAGCCUCGCAUGGUAUUUUCAUCCAUACACAGGCAUCUGAUUUUCUUUAACACCCCUGGCUUCUCCUUGGGAAGGAAAAGUGUUCCUCUAUUGUUGAGCUUGCGGAGAAAGUGGUUCACAUCUAGCUCAGUCUCCCUCUCCUUUAUCUCAGAUAGCACAGCUUCUGUUUGUUCUCUAAUGGCUUUAAAUUUUACUGUUUCAUAAAGAGGGUAAACCAUGUAGGGGAUUUGCAGCAUUCUCUGUAAUGAAUGUGCAGCUAGGGAAAUGUAAGGGAUUUGUGUCAUUUUGUUAUUAGGAAGUUCAUUUUUAUGCCUCACAACAUCACUUUCAUGGGUAAUAAAUAAGAUAUUUUGCUUUUUAUCUAUGUUCUU